AACGAACGCUGGCGGCAUGCCUAACACAUGCAAGUCGAACGAUUGCCUUCGGGUGAUAGUGGCGCACGGGUGCGUAACGCGUGGGAAUCUGCCCUUAGGUUCGGAAUAACAGCUGGAAACGGCUGCUAAUACCGGAUGAUAUCGCGAGAUCAAAGAUUUAUCGCCUGAGGAUGAGCCCGCGUUGGAUUAGGUAGUUGGUGGGGUAAAGGCCUACCAAGCCGACGAUCCAUAGCUGGUCUGAGAGGAUGAUCAGCCACACUGAGACUGAGACACGGCCCAGACUCCUACGGGAGGCAGCAGUGGGGAAUAUUGGACAAUGGGCGCAAGCCUGAUCCAGCAAUGCCGCGUGAGUGAUGAAGGCCCUAGGGUUGUAAAGCUCUUUUACCCGGGAAGAUAAUGACUGUACCGGGAGAAUAAGCCCCGGCUAACUCCGUG
rnacentral:rRNA from 1 species